rnacentral:misc_RNA from 1 species
CGUAAGAGCCGGCUUGCUGGCGAUGCAGGCGCCGCGGUCCAUCAUACAGACCGCGUCAUCGUUCAUCGCUAGCAAGCCAGCUCCCACA